rnacentral:rRNA from 1 species
AAUACUUAGGAGUCUACCUAUUAAUGGGGGACAACAUUUCGAAAGGAAUGCUAAUACCGCAUACGCCCUACGGGGGAAAGCAGGGGAUCUUCGGACCUUGCGUUAAUAGAUGAGCCUAAGUCGGAUUAGCUAGUUGGUGGGGUAAAGGCCUACCAAGGCGACGAUCUGUAGCGGGUCUGAGAGGAUGAUCCGCCACACUGGGACUGAGACACGGCCCAGACUCCUACGGGAGGCAGCAGUGGGGAAUAUUGGACAAUGGGGGGAACCCUGAUCCAGCCAUGCCGCGUGUGUGAAGAAGGCCUUUUGGUUGUAAAGCACUUUAAGCGAGGAGGAGGCUACUGGUACUAAUACUACCAGCUAGUGGACGUUACUCGCAGAAUAAGCACCGGCUAACUCUGUGCCAGCAGCCGCGGUAAUACAGAGGGUGCGAGCGUUAAUCGGAUUUACUGGGCGUAGAGCGUGCGUAGGUGGCCAAUUAAGUCAAAUGUGAAAUCCCCGAGCUUAACUUGGGAAUUGCAUUCGAUACUGGUUGGCUAGAGUAUGGGAGAGGAUGGUAGAAUUCCAGGUGUAGCGGUGAAAUGCGUAGAGAUCUGGAGG